AUGACAAAUUCUCCUUAGGGUUUCGAUCUCCUCUCUUCAGCGACAAUCUCUUUUCCAAACGUCAGCGUUUUCGCUCCCUUCCAGCUUCUUGUGUGCUCUUUUUGAAAUUUGCAAUUCAUGCUACAUUUUCUCUUAGAAGAGAUUCAAUUGCAGAUCAAUACAAGUUGUUGAACAGUGCUCAUGUGGCCUCACUCUCAUUCAAGGAGCUGGUGCCAAAGGAGCAGGCAGUUGCAAUAGCUGUUGGAGAUUGGUUUUUUGAUUGCACAGGCGUUAAGGUCAUUGAUUGUGCUUACCCUUGUGACAAAACUUGCCCAAUCUAAUUUUCAGAGCCUAAUUUAAUCAGUUGGAAUCAAUUUAAAUGGUCUAUGUGUAAGUGUAUCCCAUAUUCUACCCAUCAUUCAUUAAAUGCACUUACAAUUCAACCAAGGAUGAAAGUAGAGACAAUAAAUAGAGGAUUGCUGAGAAAUGCAAAUGCAACCAGCAAUCCUUUUCCAUA